AGUCCUUCAGAUCUGAGCGCUGAAAUGUGAUUCAACGAUUUUGGACUCAAAUUUGUUCACCGAAGAAUCCCUUAACGAGGCAGCGGAUCGCGUAAUGAAGUGACGGAUGGGUUGGUGUGAUGUGCCAAAACAGUGUCAAUUUGGCCCUUUUUUCCGCGGCACCGCCAUUCCGAUACAGUGCCGAUAACAUUUCCGAAAGCGAGAUAUUAGCACUCGCACCCACACACAAACACACACAGUUUUGUAUGUAAACAAGAGAUUUUUAACGAGUUUUUGAUGCUUGCCCAUGAGUUUUUUUUUCCAUUUUCUUUUCCUUUUUCUUUUUGAGAGGAUGGGACAAUAUUUGUGAUCGAAGAAAUGUCUCGAAGACUCAUCAAAUACUUUGACUCCCAUCGCCAUCCAUUAGCAGCGAAUCGCGUGGUAGAGUUCUUACUGCUCGAUGCAAACGGCGCCGAAGCCGAUAAUUUGAUUCAGUUUUAUUCAAAUUGUGAAGCGAAUGUGGCUGCGUGUUGGAGAGCGAGAGCUACAAGAAGCGCCUGCCGAGCACUUUGAAGUCCAUUAGCAGAGUCGUAUCAUUUACCGACCGAAUUUCGUGCGAAGUUGGCAAAGCGAACACGUCGGUAUCGGUUUUCUGAAUUUGGAAGGGCUUUUUUUUGGAAAAGGUUAUGAUUUCGACUUUGAUAGCUAUCUUUACUCGAGAGUUUUGAGCACUUUUUAGAGUAGUAUUUCAGAAGUAUGGACACACACGCAAAUUAGUCAAGUGGUUAAAAAAAUUACAUUACAUUACGAAUUACAAUAUCUAACUAAAGGACGAAGGCAAGCGGCCGUCGUCGUUGUCCGGCAGUCUCGCUUCAAGCUCGAAAACUGACCCAAACUGUUGCGGAAACUUUUUUAAUUGAAUUUUCGGUGCAAAUUGAGAGAGAGAGUUUAAGGAAAAAUGGCCCGGAGAACUAUUUCAAUUUUUUGUUCCUAUUAUCGACGGCCCAUGUAAUCACUGUUGCCAACUGAAGAACUGAAAACCUCGGAACAAAAAAGGGGAACCAAUUCGACAGCUUAUCACAUUACGGUCGAGAGGGAAGUUUGUGCCACGUUUGUGCCUGGGCUCGUGUCCGUAGCUGCGGUUUGUACUUGCCAGAAUUUAAUUACCCACAAUUACAAACUUUGCGAACGCACAGCUGACAAAGGCUGGGUUUAUUGCAUCGCUGUCUCGCACCACCAGAAGCAGACAGAGGCGAACCUUAUGCUACGCACGUAUUUAAUUAGUUGGAUUAAAACAACUCUUUUGGGGAAGGAAGGAAAUUGCUGUCGGAAAUUGUGUACGUAAACCGGGCAUUAAGCCACGCAUUAGUCACGGCGGCACUUUCUUAUCUCGUCGCUGAGGCGCGUGUCGCGUGAUUUCAGGCACACCGGAAAGAGGUAUAUAAAUCAAGUGGACGACGCUUCGGAGUAUACGCAUCCUCCGUCGUCCGGGUUUCCGUUUGCCGUCGACAGGUCGACAGGCUCGCAUAUCAAAGGAAACGAGUAGAAUAAUCAACGGACCAAGCAGGAGUUCUGUGUUGGUUUGUCAAGAAAUUGGACACUUGGACAGCAUUAAAUAACGUUCCAAAAGAGUUUUUGUUUUCUUCUGCCGGUGCGUGGUAAAUGGAGUGGAUGACGCUGGUUUCCCUGACCAGCGGUCGAAUCUCCAAACGGGUAAGUUAAUUGGCAUCGCUAUGGUUUCCAGCGCUGCGGUAAAUUGAAGAUUAUUGUACAAUCUCUCAUCAUAAUUUGUUUUUGCUUUGUAGCAAUGGCGGCGGUUAGAGGGAAUGCUGUGGAACCGUGUCUUCUAUUUCCUGGAACUGCAACACGAACACAAACUCGAACGAUGAUGCGGACGAACAAGUCCUCCGUGUUUUGCAGAUUUACAAGGUUCCGGCAGGCUUCGAUGGCUCAGUUUUAAGCAGUUUUUCUUUCUUCGAGAGGACUUGUGCGGAUGAAUAUUUCGGUUUCGGCAAUAUCGGUAAUAUCCGCCGCACAUCCUCUCAGUUGUUGAAAAUGAAACAGCGGGUGCUGAAAUACAAAGCCACCGAAAGGAAAUCCACACCCACAGGAAGCGAAUGCUGUGUCCAGUCGAGAGUAUGAAAAUUGACUGUUGACAUUUAAAAAUGUGUCGCCAAAGCCCCGUUUGUAACGGCACCAGUUACCAUCAAAGUGAAGUUUCAUUUGCCGUUGAAAAUAUGGUUCAUGAUUUGCCUCAAGUGGACACAAUCGCCCACCGCCCAAGCGUAAGGAAUCUCACACUUAUACGGCUUGUUGUCAUCUACCGAGGAGUUGGCUUAUUCUUACGAUGAUGAGUAUUUUUUCUUUGUCUUCCUAAAACAACUUCGCCCUUGUCCCGGCACUGAGCUGGAAUUUACGCUGGAAGCGGUGUAAUAGAAGCGGAAAAUUCUUCGUACCAGCCCUGCCCGCCUUCGCGGUAGCUCAGCAGGGCCACCAGGGCGCUACUCGGACUGCGAAUGGAGUAGCAAUAGCAAGAAGCGUUCCGAAAAGCUUGCGCGCUCACCAGUGGAACGAAUCCUGCGGGUUUUACGCGGAGCAGCAAACAACAAACCGGCCGAAGUGCUCUCGGAAUCGGUUAAAAGUCAAAGGUCGAAACGAAGGCAAACCGGUAACGACGACGAGCAUCUUGCAAAAGCGCAAAGGGAUUCGAGGCCUCCGAUCCAACUGCGAACCUGCCAAUAAUCAACAGUCACUCAAACCGUCGUCUUCUUCUUGCGACCGGAUGUGCGCGAUGGUGGUUAGGGGGGUCCGUUUACCUUGUCAGUUUGAGUUUCUUGUUGACCGCACCGCGUAGACUGUGGCCUAACAUCCGGCAGUGCUUAGCACACGAACCAUGGAGCAACGCGAAAGCAGCAUGUAUUAUGAGCCAAUUUAGUGUAAGAAAUGAGGAGUGUCUUCCGUUUGGAAGGAAGAUUGAUUUGAGCGAUGUGUUCCUCACCGUUUCUUGCAGGCAGAGCAGAGCAACACACUUUCAAUUCUGAAGGUCGCGUCCGUUGAGUGUGGGCUCUUUUCGGCUUUGUUUCGGCACCAUCUUGCUGUACGAAACACAAAACGAAAAAAAACUUUCGAGCACACUCAACAGGUGUUCCGCUGGCAACUCGCCGCGACGGUUGUGGGAUGUAACGAGCGCGCAACGUAUGUGUAUGUGCAACACUUUUUGUGUCUUAAGCAUUUGCUCGCGCACUGCAAAACAACCGCUUUAAUAAUGCACACGUUGGGCAGCGUCUGCGAACCGGGUGAAAUGGUUGCUUGCAUGACUCUUUAAGGUGAAGGUAAACCUAUUGUGAAAUGGUUUAUGGGUAUGAGGCGCUCCGAAAAAAAACCCCUAAACAUUUUAGAUUAUUUGUUGCACAAAACUAUGCUAAUUAAUUGUACAUGGCUAUCGAUUAUUAGCUAGGUUCAAGUUUUUUUCCCCUCAUCGAUGGAGGCGCCCGGUGUUUUGUGAUGGAGGCGCCUGGUAGCUGAUGAUUUGUUCGCGUGCAUUGCAAGAAGGGUGGAAUUAUCAGCGCUCAAACCGAUGAAUGUAUACGCCGAAAAUGCAAACAGCAGCAGCAAAGGUCACUGAAAGAAUGUGCAAUUCUUCUUCAAUUGCAUUGCAAGAAGGGUGGAAUUAUCAGCGCUCAAACCGAUGAAUGUAUACGCCGAAAAUGCAAACAGCAGCAGCAAAGGUCACUGAAAGAAUGUGCAAUUCUUCUUCAACGAAGCUCAUGCAUAAUACAACGGUAACCGCCCGCAGGCUCUGCUGACUGAUGAUAAGGUGAGUGUAGAUUAGGAUGGUAAAGACACGAUCCCAUAAUUAGGCACAUUCAAUCGAAGCUAAGCCCUUCAAUUCAAAGGCUCUUCCCGUGCAGAGGGAAAUUGCCAUUUAAAAGAAAGUAUAGUUUAAUCUAGCGGCGCACUGAAAUGUCACGCAAUAUACAUUUUUUUUUGUUGAUUUCGAAGUACCUGGGUGGUACAAGCAGAGAGCUCGCGUAGGUAGUGACCGGUGGCCAUUCGCAAUUCAACGCAUCACGCCGCUCGCAAUUGUGAGUGGCCUUGCCAUAAAGACCAGUAUUAUAGGAUGCUGCUAAAAAUAGGUCCCAGUAGCGUGAAGGCAUGAAGCCGCUCAUGCUGCGUUUCGUUGUAAUUCCUAGUUGGGUUCGGUUGGCAAAAACCACCAACAAAGGCCCGGAUGAUUUAACGCUUAAGGAAGAAGAUUCGUGCGAGUCCCAUCGACGUGCGGCACGGUCCCGGUUCCCGGUACCCGGGUGUAUUAAUUGUGAGCCUUACCACGAUUGCUGCACGCGUGUCCACGACUCCUCACGCACACACACACCGAGGAGGUAUGUGACGCGCGCGCCAUCCGCCACAGAAAAAAGGGAGAAAGCUCUUUCUAGGAUUUUUCGGAUGACAGUUUGUGGCCCCGUGGCGUGCCGCCUGGGGGCUCAAUGGCAGCAGCAGCUAGCCAGCCAGCAUCAGAUGAGAGCCAGGUAAUGUCGCGAUGGUGGUUUUGCGAUUAUAAAAAUAAUUGGGUGCCGGGGUGAAAUUAAAAUUAGCAACAUUUUGUUCACUUUUCACCCGCGCGACGUUCGCGUUCGCUUUUGUUGCCGCUAGCGGCUGGGUGCGGUCCGAGGACCGAGGGCGGCCGGCCGAGAAAUGUACUUUAGCUGAGCAUGUGUGUAUGUGUGUGUGUGUGUGUUGGUUCAUUUUUUCUGUUGCGUUUCCUCAUUGUAUUAAAUUAAUCUUGCCUUGCCUCUAAUCUUCUUGCUCGUUCUUGACGUUCUUGAGCAGAAAAUUACACCGGGCCCACCAGCAGGAGUGGUUGGUGUUUCGAAAUGUACACAAUUUAAUAUUUUAAUUUUAGAACAA